CAAGUUAAAGCUUUAAAAAGCAUUUUAGUUACAUUAAAAAGUUUAUUGUGUUAAACAAUAUAAUUUGA